rfam:Ictidomys tridecemlineatus contig029860, whole genome shotgun sequence.
UGGGUUGUGGCUCAGUGGUAGAGCACUUGCCUAGCAUGUGUGGGGUACUGAGUUCGAGCCUCCGCACCACAU